UUUGCUUGGUGAUUGUUUCCUAUGGGAGUUUCCAGUGAGUCCUGAUCCUUGGAAAGGGAAAAGGAUUGAUUGUGGCAGGGAACCUCCAGAAAUUUUCUUUGUCAGCUCUCUCUGCCAUGGCAGUUCUUUACAGAUCUGGACCAGGAUGAGUGUUGACUGCUGCUUUCUGUCAAAAUAGAGAUGCUUGGAGGCAAGAGCAACAUGGUCGCGGGUAGGAGAGGUGCACUCAAUUCUGGCCAAAGGCCAACCUGCUGGACCAUCAGCAUGCUCCUCUUGCUUCAUGUGGCCAAAGAGACUGAACUCUGACCAGGGACUGCUGAUGGGUUACACAGAAAAAGAGAAAGUCCCAAAUGUGGGAUCCUCCUACUUCAGUCAGAAGCUUUGGCUGUUCAGCUGAUUUAAUUUUGUAGCUGAAAAUAUUACUAGCAGUAAUAAAUUUGUCUGCCACUUUGGAAACACAGCCAGUGAGAACUUAUUCCCCUUUGUCACGAGAUGUAAAAAGAUGGGGAAAGGCUACAGUCUUAAAACAAAAUUCUUCACCAGAGAGCUGCAUAUAUUGCUACGUAUCAGUCAUGGGAGAAGAAUGCUUGUAGUCAUCCACUGCGGGUGUAGCUAGAAACGCCUAUUGAAAGGAUUCAAACAGGCAGCACACAGACACCAAAAUGGUUGUGUUGGGUCAGAUUCUUAUCUGGCCGAUAUUGGAUACUGACAUGGAGCAUCUCCUUUACACAUCACAUUUCUGCACAAGUGAGGUCACAUUCAGUUCUUACAUCUGGCACUUGGACCUCUGUGGGACCAAACCUCAGGAAGAGUUGUCUGUGGCAAGGAAAGGAGUAACAAACAGUCAGACCCUUACACAUGCUGACUGGUAGCAUUUCCUUCUCAAGUAGUUUGCAAAGGCACUCACUGAAUUAUUGCUUGGCUUUUUGCACAUCUCCCCUUGCUUCUAUGAGGGUAGGAGUAGCCCUGGUUUCCCACACCUGUAACAAUCUUGAAAAUUUAAAUCCACAUGGAACAAACAUGUAAAUUGUGCUUUCCCAAGAAGGUGUGUUCUACAAAAUUCUGUAAAAACAGGUCUCUCUGUGUAAUAAACUGCAGAUCUGUUUACCUCUGCAACUCCGGCCUGGUGGCCUUGUUCCAACAGUCCAACCUCGGACAACCAAUAUUUUUAAAGAGUAAAAAAAUAUGUUCUUUCUUGUUUAUUUCUUUCAAAUUACUUAGAUUAAAGGCCAACUGUGAGGAAUAAUGAAUUGCAGAUCAAUGGAAGGAUCAUCUCAUCGCCCUAAGAACAAGUAGGGGAAGUAUUUCCCCAGUGGAGCACUGCACUGGAUUGCAGCAUUUCAGUGACCAGUGCCCCAAAUUUUACAAUCUCAGCUUUGCUCCAUGAACAGAUACUUAAAUCAUCUGCAUUGUCAUUGUUUUCCUAGCUACUGUCCAUACAGUUGAACUCAUAGAUUUGGAGGAUUACGUAAAUAUACCAGAAUUUUUUUUUAAAAAGUCACUUAAAAUAUUUAUCUGCAAAUAAAAUGUGAUGGAAUU
rnacentral:lncRNA from 1 species